UACGUAGGGGGCAAGCGUUGUCCGGAUUUAUUGGGCGUAAAGAGCGUGUAGGCGGUCUGGUAGGUCCGUUGUGAAAACUCGAGGCUCAACCUCGAGACGCCGAUGGAAACCAUCAGACUAGAGUCCGGAAGAGGAGAGUGGAAUUCCUGGUGUAGCGGUGAAAUGCGCAGAUAUUGGGAGGAACACCAGUGGCGAAGGCGGCUCACUGGACCGGAACUGACGCUGAGGCGCGAAAGCGUGGGGAGCAAACGGG
rnacentral:rRNA from 1 species